GUCACUUUGCCGGAGUGGUUAACGGGAUCGCCUGCUAUUCUUCUGUGGCUCGUAGCGGUUGUGCUUUGCACGCGAGUGUUCGAAUCGCUCAGGUGACG